rnacentral:rRNA from 1 species
GAUUAACGCUGGCGGCGUGCCUAACACAUGCAAGUCGAGCGGCAGCGCGUUUUACACUGAAUUCUGGAAGCUUCCAGUUGAAAGAGAAGAUUUAUUCAAGAAUUUUGUGUAAAAUGUCGGCGAGCGGCGGACGGCUGAGUAACGCGUGGGAACGUACCCCAAAGUGAGGGAUAACGCAUCGAAAGGUGUGCUAAUACCGCAUAUGGUCUUCGGAUUAAAGCCUUCGGGCGCUUUGGGAACGGCCUGCGUAAGAUUAGAUAGCUGGUGGGGUAAUGGCCUACCAAGUCGACGAUCUUUAACUGGUUUGAGAGGAUGAUCAGUCAGACUGGAACUGAGACACGGUCCAGACUCCUACGGGAGGCAGCAGUGAGGAAUCUUCCACAAUGGGCGAAAGCCUGAUGGAGCAACGCCGCGUGCAGGAUGAAGGCCUUCGGGUUGUAAACUGCUUUUAUAAGUGAGGAUUAUGACAGUAACUUAUGAAUAAGGAUCGGCUAACUACGUG